AUUGAACGCUGGCGGCAGGCCUAACACAUGCAAGUCGAGCGGCAGCGGGAAAGUAGCUUGCUACUUUUGCCGGCGAGCGGCGGACGGGUGAGUAAUGCCUGGGAAAUUGCCCAGUCGAGGGGGAUAACAGUUGGAAACGACUGCUAAUACCGCAUACGCCCUACGGGGGAAAGCAGGGGACCUUCGGGCCUUGCGCGAUUGGAUAUGCCCAGGUGGGAUUAGCUAGUUGGUGAGGUAAUGGCUCACCAAGGCGACGAUCCCUAGCUGGUCUGAGAGGAUGAUCAGCCACACUGGAACUGAGACACGGUCCAGACUCCUACGGGAGGCAGCAGUGGGGAAUAUUGGACAAUGGGGGCAACCCUGAUCCAGCCAUGCCGCGUGUGUGAAGAAGGCCUUCGGGUUGUAAAGCACUUUAAGCGGGGAGGAAGGCUCGGCAGCUAAUACCUGUCGGGAUUGACGUUACCCGCAGAAUAAGCACCGGCAAACUUCGUGCCAGCAGCCGCCGUAA
rnacentral:rRNA from 1 species